AGCAGCCGCGGUAAUUCCAGCUCCAAUAGCGUAUAUUAAAGUUGUUGCAGUUAAAAAGCUCGUAGUUGAAUUUCGAGAUCAAAUUGUUGGUCGUGCCUUGGUACGCACUGGCAUUAUUGGUUUCUCCCUUCUGACGAAUCAUGAUGUCAUUAAUUUGGUGUCUUGGGGAAUCAGGACUGUUACUUUGAAAAAAUUUAGAGUGUUUAAAGCAGGCUUACGCUUGAAUACAUUAGCAUGGAAUAAUGAAAUAGGACGUUUGAUUCUAUUUUGUUGGUUUCUAGGAUCGACGUAAUGAUUAAUAGGGAUAGUUGGGGGCAUUAGUAUUCAAUUGUCAGAGGUGAAAUUCUUGGAUUUAUUGAAGACUAACUACUGCGAAAGCAUUUGCCAAGGAUGUUUUCAUUAAUCAAGAACGAAAGUUAGGGGAUCGAAGACGAUCAGAUACCGUCGUAGUCUUAACCAUAAACUAUGCCGACUAGGGAUCGGAUGAUGUUAAUUUUUUAAUGACUCAUUCGGCGCCUUA
rnacentral:rRNA from 1 species